AUCGACACAUUGAGCACCCCUGGUCGAAAAGUGAGCCAAGCUGCAAUCUUAGCACAGAUUAGUGCUUCUGAUGACUGAGACACACUCAGUAUGGGAGUGGAGAGUAUUCAUGUUUGAUGAUGUCUGGUGCAUGCACCAGAUGUGCCCAUAAUUUUCGGCAACUCACUGAUAAAAUUUUGCCAUGAGUGACAAUCCACUGUUUCUUUUUCUGUCAUCAGCACUCGUCACUGCCUGCACCUGUCAGUUCCAUUGUUCCAGUGCCAGAGAAUUCUCACUCCUACGCAUCAGUCCACUUGUUGCUCCUGUUUGUCAGUAAGAUUCUCUGAUUACCGGGUUCCAAAAAAAGGGCUGAUGCUGCUUACUGAGAUAAGGGACACCAGCAGGUAUCAAGACCAUAGGGCAGCAGAAGAACUGGACAUCGACAUUGUACAGAUCGAAUGUCUGGCCGACUUCAUUGUCCUUGAACACAAGAAAUUCCAAAUGUUGAAAGUUUGAUGGGUAUCCCUCAAGGAAAGUAUCAAACAGAUCCUUAACAGGUGCACCUCUGGCAACAACAUGUGCAACGUGCCAACCUGGAGAUGUUCCCACUCACAGACAAACGGCAAAGCAACACUGCUGCACUGUCUGAGGUAAUAGGUAAACAUUUGAAAAGUCUUGAGGAGAAGUUGUCAUUUUAUUUCUCUUCAGCCUCCACUGAAUGCUUUGACUGGGUUAGGGACCCAUACAGCUCGGCAUCAGUUGUUGGAAAGGACAUGACUUUAC